rnacentral:rRNA from 1 species
GACGAACGCUGGCGGCGCGCUUAACACAUGCAAGUCGAACGGAAAGGCCUGCUUUCCCUUGUGGAUUGCGGGUACUCGAGUGGCGAACGGGUGAGUAACACGUGAGUGAUCUGCCCCCAACUUGGGUAUAAGCCUGGGAAACUGGGUCUAAUUCCCGAUAGGACUGCAGGGUGGUGCCUGUGGUGGAAAACGAUUUUCUAGUGGUUGGGGAUGAGCUCGCGGCCUAUCAGCUUGUUGGUGGGGUAAUGGCCUACCAAGGCGGCGACGGGUAGCCGGCCUGGGAGGGUGGACGGGCACAUUGGGACUGAGAUACGGCCCAGACUCCUACGGGAGGCAGCAGUGGGGAAUAUUGCACAAUGGGCGGAAGCCUGAUGCAGCGACGCCGCGUGGGGGAUGACGGCCUUCGGGUUGUAAACUCCUUUCGACCGCGAGGAAGCCACCUGGUUGGAAGGGUGGUGACGGUAGUGGUAGAGGAAGCACCGGCUAACUACGUG